rnacentral:lncRNA from 1 species
CUCCUCCCCACUCCUCCACUGCUCUACCGAAUCUUUUCUUGCACUACAAUGAGCAUGGCCCUGAGAGGUUUGUAUGCCUCCGUUGCUGGUUACUAUGGCUACCACAGUGCAAUGCCUAAAGAAAGCAGCUUCAUAGGAAAAGGCUUGUUUGGCUCACAGCUUUGGAGGCUCAAAGAUCACACUUGAGUGGGCAGCACUCUGGGGCCACCCUCUGGAGACGGUGUGGUGGCAGGGGUCACAGCGGCAGCAACUCUCCUGAGAAAGUAAUGGAAAGCAGAGAGCAGGGUGGGGCCUGGCUUGCUCUUUCUGUAGCAGCCCUCUGCUGAGAACCAGCCUGGGGUCCUCACCAAGCCCCUCCAUCCCUGUAAUCUCACUAAAAGGACUCUAUGCCUGCCUGAUGAUUGUAACCUAGAAACCAGUUGUCUUGUGCACUGUUGCCUAAAACUCCACCCGGUGAUAAUUAAAUGAAUCAGGCACCCCCUGACACAUUUUCACAAUGCUUUGUCUGCCAAAAAAAGUUUGUGUAUUUUGCAUAGGAGGUGAAGGUUGAGAUCAGAUGAAUAGAGGGAGUCGGAAUGAAAACUAAUUCCAAACCAUUUUCACUUAGAAACCCUCCUGGUGCAGACAGCAAAAGGCCUGUUUCAAGUGAGGGAUGGCUAGUUCAAGGACAGGAGGGUGACAUCACAAGGACCAAUCUGUAAGCCAGAAGACUCAGAAGACUAAAAAGGCAAAAUUAGGUAGCAGGGGUUACCUGCUCAGAGCAGAGACAGAUGGGAAAUUUCUGUCAUCAUUAAGGUUUUAUUGACCAGCGCGGCUGAAAUUUCCCAGAGAGAGGAAUUCAUCUCGCUACCGACUGAGAGCAGACAUCCUGCUGGGAGUAGUUACAUAAAUUCUGUUGCUCAAAUUAAUUAGGAUUGUGAUUCAUUUGUUUAAUGAAGAAUCUGAUGGCGAGAGGCAAGGCAGCCUAGCCUUGCCGAGUUCAGCCAAUCCCGGGUGAUAGUGCGGCAGAUGGGGUGGGACCAGGCCUGGAGCUGGCUGCCGAUGGGCAGAGACAACCAACCAGAAUGCAGAGCUGAAGCCAGUGGGAGCCGCUGCUGUCCCCUCCAAAGCUGGUGGCUGGAGAGACGCAGAUUCCCAGCUUAAAGCUUUCCCAGCUUCGCCGCCGCCCAGAGGCUUCCGGCCUCCUGCUUCCUCUGUGCGGAACAACUGCGAACAGCUGAAACACACGCCUCAUUAGCACCGACCGUCCACCCAUUUCCUCAUGCCACCCCCAAACGCCAGACUUUAUGCUUCU